rfam:Canis lupus familiaris chromosome 12, whole genome shotgun sequence.
GUGCUCGCUUCAGCAGCGCAUACCCGAAAACUGGAACGUACAGAGAAGAUUAGUAUGGCCCUGUGUAAGGACAACACAUAAAUUCCUACAGUGUACCAUAUCAAA